CUUCCUCGAUCUGCUGCGGGCAGAUGAAGUGGAUAUGGCUGUCGAAACCGCCAGCGGUGAGGAUCUUGCCUUCACCUGCAAUCACCUCCGUGCCGGGGCCGACAAUAAUGUCGACGCCGGGCUGAGUGUCGGGAUUGCCAGCCUUGCCUAUGGAGGCGAUGCGGCCAUCCUUCAGGCCGAUAUCGGCCUUGAAGAUGCCGGUGUGAUCGACCACCAGCGCAUUGGUGAUGACAGUAUCCACCGCGCCAUCGGCACGGGUGACCUGGGACUGCCCCAUGCCGUCGCGGAU
rnacentral:sRNA from 1 species